rnacentral:rRNA from 1 species
CCACACCGUAAACGUUGGGCGCUAGGUGUGGGACUCAUUCCACGAGUUCCGUGCCGCAGCUAACGCAUUAAGCGCCCCGCCUGGGGAGUACGGCCGCAAGGCUAAAACUCAAAGGAAUUGACGGGGGCCCGCACAAGCGGCGGAGCAUGCGGAUUAAUUCGAUGCAACGCGAAGAACCUUACCUGGGUUUGACAUAUACGAGAAGCCUCUAGAGAUAGAGGUCUCUUUGGACACUCGUAUACAGGUGGUGCAUGGCUGU